ACGAACGCUGGCGGCGUGGAUUAGGCAUGCAAAGUCCGCUGCGACGGCCCUUCGGGUACGGAGCGGCGAAACGGGUGAGUAACACGUGAGAAAACCAACCCCUUUGUUCCGGAUAAUUGACCGAAAGGUCUUGUAAUACGGGGGAGGCUGCUUUAUGGGCAUCCAUGGAGUAGCGAAACGAGCAAUCGGCACAGGGACGGUCUCGCGGGCCUAUCAGGUAGAUGGUGAUGGUAACGGCUCACCAUGCCGACGACGGGUAGCUGGUCUGAGAGGAUGGUCAGCCACAUUGGAAACUGAGACACUGUCCAGACUCCUACGGGAGGCUGCAGUCGAGAAUCUUGGGCAAUGCACGAAAGUGCGACCCCAGCGACGCCGCGUGAAGGAUGAAGGCCCUCCGGGUCGUAAACUUCUUUUACGGGAGAAGAAUCCAUGACGGUACCCCGUGAAUAAGCCACGGCUAACUACGUGCCAGCAGCCGCGGUAAUACGUAGGUGGCAAGCGUUGUCCGGAAUUACUGGGCGUAAAAGCGAACGCAGGCGGAUGGUUAAGUAAGAAGUGAAAGGUCGGAGCUCAACUCCAACAUUGCUUCUUAUACUGGCCGUCUUGAGUUCCCGGAGAGGAAAGCGGGAACUGCACGUGUAGCGGGUGAAAUAUGCGUUGAUAUGUGCAGGGAACACCAAUGGCCGAAGGCAGCUUUCUGGACGAGGACUGACGCUCAUGUUCGAAAGCCAAGGGAGCGAACAGGAUUAGAUACCCUGGUAGUCUUGGCCCUAAACUAUGUUCACUAGGUGUCGGGGGGUAACCUUCGGUGCCGCAGCUAACGCAUUAAGUGAACCGCCUGGGGACUACGGCCGCAAGGUUGAAACUCAAAGGAAUUGGCGGGGGGCCCGCACAAGCGGUGGAGCAUGUGGCUUUAAUUCGAUGCAACGCGAAGAACCUUACCCAGGCUUGACAUGGAUCUGCAAGCUCGUGAAAAGCGAGUCGCCUUCGAGGGUGAUCCACAGGUGGUGCAUGGCUUGUCGUCAGCUCGUGUUGUGAAAUGUUGGGUUAAGUCCCGCAACGAGCGCAACCCUCACGUUCUGUUACCAGCGCAUAAUGGCGGGGACUCGGAACGAACUGCCUCUGUAAAGAGGAGGAAGGUGGGGGAUGACGUCAAGUCAUCAUGCCCCUUACGCCUGGGGCUGCACACAUGCUACAAUGGCUGCUACAAACAGUUGCGAUCCCGCGAGGGUUAGCUAAUCUGAAAAAAGCAGUCUCAGUUCGGAUUGGAGUCUGCAACUCGACUCCAUGAAGCCGGAAUCGCUAGUAACCGCAGGUCAGCAUUACUGCGGUUGAAUACGUUCCCGGGCCUUGCACACACCGCCCGUCACGUGACGAAAGUUGGUUCUACCCGAAAGUCGUUGGGCUAACCGCAAGGAAGCAGACGCCGAAGGUAGAGCCGAUGAUUGGCGCG
rnacentral:rRNA from 1 species